rnacentral:rRNA from 1 species
UACGUAGGGUGCAAGCGUUGUCCGGAAUUACUGGGCGUAAAGCGCGCGUAGGUGGUUUGUUAAGUUGAAUGUGAAAUCCCCGGGCUCAACCUGGGAACUGCAUCCAAAACUGGCAAGCUAGAGUAGGGCAGAGGGUGGUGGAAUUUCCUGUGUAGCGGUGAAAUGCGUAGAUAUAGGAAGGAACACCAGUGGCGAAGGCGACCACCUGGGCUCAUACUGACACUGAGGUGCGAAAGCGUGAGGAGCAAACAGG